GUAACUGGCUUGGACCGGUGAGGAGUCGCUCCCUGAGUCUGGGGCUGGUGCCGAGGCCAGCCUUCCCCGAUGGCUACAGAUGAGGAACACCUGAGGAAAGUCAGUUCUGUCAGCAAGGAAGAGAGGGGUCAUGGCCACUGGGUAAUGGCAGCUAACAAUGUCUGCUAAAGACUGAAGCCAAGCUGAACCCCAGUGAUAGACACAGGGGGACAAAGCAGGAACCAAAACCUUAGGAAUUGGGAGCAAAGAAAAAUCUCCAUAUGGUGGCUAAAUUAGCGGGUAUCAGUAGACAAAGGAGUAUAUGAGGGGAACGUGUAGACCACAAUGCGCAGACACACCUGCCCUGCGUUGAAUGAGACAAGUGGCAGAGGGGUUCCAGGUUGCUUGCACGAGAGGAAAAUCAAUCGCCCCUGAGUUAUUAGCGAAAAGCACAGGUAAACCCUACUCCACUGCCCUCAGCCUCUGAGCAGCAAGCAUCGGGCUGACCGACUCUGCUUGAGCAUUCUCGAGAAAACAUCAUCCAGAAAUAUGAUCACAAUAUUCCAAAGGGAACGUGUGGUCAUUUUUCUCAUCUCUCCAGCAUGUGUGAUACUGUCUCUCAAUCUGUGCACACCACAAAUCCAGUUUUUAAAAUCAAGGUGGACUUUGCCCAGCAGAGCUCCUCUGGUGGCACUGUGAUUGCAUGGCCAGCACAUGGCGUUUGCUGCUGAGCCCUGCUCUCAACUUGCUGUGCAACCUUCCCUAGGUUACUUCAACCUCACCGCAGACUGAGAGACCGGAGUCUCGGCCGGAUUAAGUCUGUGUUCAAACUCCAGACGGUGUGACACUAGACUGCUCCCUAGAACAUCACUAUGUUAUUUGGAAACAUCUGACCUUUUCCAGCUUCUCAGUUUUUGAAUUCUUUUUUUAAAAAGUCACUUAUUUCUGA